GAUGAACGCUGGCGGCGUGCCUAAUACAUGCAAGUAGAACGCUGAGGGAGGAGCUUGCUCUUCUGGAUGAGUUGCGAACGGGUGAGUAACGCGUAGGUAACCUGCCUGGUAGCGGGGGAUAACUAUUGGAAACGAUAGCUAAUACCGCAUGACAACAGUUAUUGCAUGAUAACUGUUUAAAAGGGGCAACUGCUCCACUACCAGAUGGACCUGCGUUGUAUUAGCUAGUUGGUGAGGUAACGGCUCACCAAGGCGACGAUACAUAGCCGACCUGAGAGGGUGAGCGGCCACACUGGGACUGAGACACGGCCCAGACUCCUACGGGAGGCAGCAGUAGGGAAUCUUCGGCAAUGGACGGAAGUCUGACCGAGCAACGCCGCGUGAGUGAAGAAGGUUUUCGGAUCGUAAAGCUCUGUUGUAAGAGAAGAACGAGUGUGAGAGUGGAAAGUUCACACUGUGACGGUAUCUUACCAGAAAGGGACGGCUAACUACGUG
rnacentral:rRNA from 1 species